rnacentral:rRNA from 1 species
CAGUUAUAAUCUGCUCGAUUGUAAAUGGUUAUUGGAUAACCCGUGGGAAAUCUAGAGCUAAUACAUGUAGGGCUCGGUGGCGGCAACGUCGCCGAUUGCAUUUAUUAGAACAAUCCAACCGUGUGAUCUUCACACGUGGUGAGUCUAGAUAACUUUGCAGAUCGUAUAGCCUUGAGCUGACGACAUUUCGAUUGAAUUUCUGCCCUAUCAACUUUGUUGGCAGUGUAGUGGACUGCCAAGGUUUUGACGGGUAACGGGGGAUCAGGGUUCGAUUCCGGAGAGGGAGCCUGAGAAACGGCUACCACAUCCAAGGGAGGCAGCAGGCGCGAAAAUUACCCAAUCCAGACAAUGGGAGGUGGUGACGAAAAGUACCGGGUGGCGGGAUUUUCCCGCCGGCCUGGAAUGAAAACAAUUUAAGCAAUUGAAUUGAGUAACGACUGGAGGGCAAGUCUGGUGCCAGCAGCCGCGGUAAUUCCAGCUCCAGUGGCGUACCUCAACGUUGCUGCGCUUAAAACGCUCGUAGUUGGAUCACUCACUGCGUAGUGGUGUGCCCGUUUGGUGGUGUACUACUCGUCGCAUCGCUCGUUGGGUCUCCCUUCGUUGUCGAUGGACGAAGCACUACCAUCGGACAGUUAGCUGCUACGUAGUAAUUGCGCGUGGGGACGGCCAUUAACCUUCGUUGCGUUGAUGGUUGUGUCUCACGGGGUGUGCCUUGAGUAAAUCAGAGUGCUUAAUGCAGGCGUUAUGCUUGAAUGUUGAUAGCAUGGAACGAACAAUCGUGUAUGGUGUGUACUGGAAACGGUGUGGAUUUAUUUCACACUGCAGUAUGCGACACCGACCGCCAAUUACGGAUGUUGGUUCCGUAUUGGGGUACUGAUUAAGAGGAGCGGUUGGGGGCAUUGGUAUUUGGCAGCGAGAGGUGAAAUUCUUGGACCUGCCAAGGACUAACAAAUGCGAAGGCAUCUGUCCAGACCGUAUCCAUUAAUCAAGAACGAAAGAGAGAGGUUCGAAGACGAUCAGAUACCGUCCUAGUUCUCUCUGUAAACGAUGCCGACCCGGGAUCAGUCUAGGGCAAACCUACGCUCGCGGUUGGUCCCCCUGGGAAACCUAAAGUUUUUCGGUUGCGGGGGGAGUAUGGUCGCAAGGCUGAAACUUAAAGGAAUUGACGGAAGGGCACCACCAGGGGUGGAGCCUGCGGCUUAAUUUGACUCAACACGGGAAAACUUACCAGAUCAGGACAUUAGUAGGAUAAACAGACCACAGCUCUUUUUUGAUUUGAUGAUUGGUGGUGCAUGGCCGUUCUUAGUUCGUGGAGUGAUCUGUCAGGCCAAUUCCGGUAACGAACGAGAGCACAGUCUCCAUUUGACGAGCUGAAGCGGGUGCCGAUUGUGAGCAAUUCCGGCGACGGUUUCGCCCGCAGUCAGUACUGUAGGCAAUGUUCGUUAGCAGUGGUCGUGGAGGGGUGGCAACACUCUUUUGUGAUUACUGUUCGUGAGCGUUCCCUUCAGCCAUGCAAUAUGCGGUUCGCAAGGACUGUGUGUUGUAUCAUGGAGAGACAACGGAAUAUAUUUCAAAAUCCGAGGAAGUGUGGCUAUAACAGGUCUGUGAUGCCCUUAGAUGUUCUGGGCUGCACGCGCGCUACAAUGGCAGCGACAACGAGUAUCUUGAUCGAAAGAUUCGGGUAAUCUUUUUAAUCGCUGCCGUGAUGGGGAUCGAUGUUUGUAAAUACGUCGUGAAAGAGGAAUCCCUAGUACGUGCGAUUCAUGAAAUCGCGUGGAUUUAGUCCCUGCCCUUUGUACACACCGCCCGUCGGUACUACCGAGCGAAUGGUGUCAUAAU